AAUUAAAAAUUCCAUCCGUUUCUAGUGCUAAAAACUGUCAUUGCUGAUAGAAUAAUCAAACAAUUACAUGCGGCAUGCCACGUGUGCCUCAUUCUGACAUAUAGUGACCAAGUUUUAAUAGUUGAGAUGGAUGAAUUUUUUAACA
rfam:Gossypium hirsutum cultivar TM-1 chromosome 17, whole genome shotgun sequence